rnacentral:rRNA from 1 species
UACAGAGGGUGCGAGCGUUAAUCGGAAUUACUGGGCGUAAAGGGUGCGUAGGUGGUUGAAUUAGUUAGGUGUGAAAUUCCUGGGCUUAACCUGGGGACUGCGCCUAAUACUGUUUAGCUAGAGUAUUGUAGAGGAAAGUGGAAUUUCCGGUGUAGCGGUGAAAUGCGUAGAUAUCGGAAGGAACAUCAGUGGCGAAGGCGACUUUCUGGACAAAUACUGACACUGAGGCACGAAAGCAUGGGGAGCAAACAGGAUUAGAUACCCUGGUAGUCCAUGCCGUAAACGAUGAAGACUGGCUGUUGGGCAUCUAUUGAUGCUUAGUAGCGAAGCUAACGCGUUAAGUCUUCCGCCUGGGGAGUACGGCCGCAAGGUUA